rnacentral:rRNA from 1 species
UACGGAGGGUGCAAGCGUUGCUCGGAAUUAUUGGGCGUAAAGGGUAGGUAGGUGGUCUCAUUUGUCUGGGGUGAAAGCCUUGGGCUUAACUCAAGAAGUGCCCCAGAAACGGUGAGACUAGAGUCCUGGAGAGGGUCGUGGAAUUCCCGGUGUAGCGGUGAAAUGCGUAGAGAUCGGGAGGAACACCAGAGGCGAAGGCGGCGACCUGGACAGGCACUGACACUCAACUACGAAAGCGUGGGGAGCAAACAGG